rnacentral:rRNA from 1 species
AGAAACCAACAGGGAUUGCCUCAGUAACGGCGAGUGAAGCGGCAACAGCUCAAAUUUGAAAUCUGGCCUCUUCGGGGUCCGAGUUGUAAUUUGGAGAGGAUGUUUCGGGCACGGUCCGGGCUUAUAUUUCUUGGAACAGAAUGUCAUAGAGGGUGAGAAUCCCGUCUGGAGCUCGGACACGACCUAUGUGAAACUCCUUCGACGAGUCGAGUUGUUUGGGAAUGCAGCUCUAAAUGGGUGGUAAAUUUCAUCUAAAGCUAAAUAUUGGCCAGAGACCGAUAGCGCACAAGUAGAGUGAUCGAAAGAUGAAAAGCACUUUGAAAAGAGAGUUAAAAAGUACGUGAAAUUGUUGAAAGGGAAGCGCUGGCGACCAGACUUGCGCGUCGGGGUUCCCCCUUGCUUCUGCUUGGGUUACUCCCCGGCGUUCAGGCCAACAUCGGUUUCGGGGGUUGGUUAAAGGCCUUGGGAAUGUACCUACCCUCCGGGGUAGACUUAUAGCCCAGGGUGUCAUGCGACCUCCCGGGACCGAGGAACGCGCUUCGGCUCGGAUGUUGGCGUAAUGGUUGUCAGCGACC